UACAGAGGGUGCGAGCGUUAAUCGGAAUUACUGGGCGUAAAGCGUGCGUAGACGGUUAUUUAAGUCGGAUGUGAAAGCCCCGGGCUCAACCUGGGAAUUGCAUUCGAGACUGAAUAGCUAGGGUACGGUAGAGGGAAGCGGAGUUUCCGGUGUAGCGGUGAAAUGCGUAGAUAUCGGAAGGAACAUCAGUGGCGAAAGCGGCUUCCUGGACCAGUACCGACGUUCAGGCACGAAAGCGUGGGGAGCAAACAGG
rnacentral:rRNA from 1 species